ACUCAAAUGAAUAGACGGGGGCCCGCACAAGCGGUGGAUUAUGUGGUUUAAUUCGAAGCAACGCGCAGAACCUUACCUGGGCUUGACAUCCCUUGACAACCCUAGAAAUAGGGCUUUGUAGCAAUACACAAGGAGACAGGUGCUGCAUGGCUGUCGUCAGCUCGUGUUGUGAAAUGUUGGGUUAAGUCCCGCAACGAGCGCAACCCCUGGAUUUAGUUGCCAGCAUUAAGUUGGGCACUCUAAAUUAACUGCCAGCGUUAAGCUGGAGGAAGGUGGGGAUGACGUCAAGUCCUCAUGGCCCUUACGCCCAGGGCUACACACGUAAUACAAUGGAUAGGACAAAGGGUUGCCAACCUGUAAAGGGGAGCUAAUCUCAAAAACCUAUCCUCAGUUCGGAUUGAGGGCUGCAAUUCGCCCUCAUGAAGGCGGAAUCGCUAGUAAUCGUGGAUCAGAACGCCACGGUGAAUACGUUCCCGGGCCUUGCACACACCGCCCGU
rnacentral:rRNA from 1 species